UCUCCCGCAUUCCCAUCGCUCUGUAUUCCCAUUGCUCCCCAUUCCCGGGCUCUCCCGCAUUCCCAUCGUUCCGUAUUCCCGUUGCUCCCCAUUCCCGGGGUCCCGCACUCCCUGUCCCCCUCCAGUUGCCCCCAUGGCCAGCGCAGUGCCGCACCCCCGCCCGUCGCUCCUGGACUACCAAACGGCGAAGCUGGCGCUGACGCGGAACCGCCGGGUGGGGGCGCUGUACCGCCUGCUCCAGCUCGCCGUGCUGGGCUACCUGCUCGGGUGGGUGCUGCUGGCCCGGAGGGGCUAUCAGGACACGGACCCCGCGCCGCACGCCGCGCUGCUCGCCAAGCUGAAAGGGGCGGCGGUGGCGGCGGGGGGGCGGCGGCUCUGGGACGUGGCGGAUUACGGCUGGGGGGCACCGGGAGAAAACGGUCUUUUUCUGGUGACCAACUUCAUCGCCACAGUGCAGCAGAGCCAGGGAACUUGUCCUGAGAGCCCCGCCGUUCCUGACGCCCAGUGCGUGGAAGAUGUAGACUGUCCCAUGGGAAACCCAGUGUCUCGUGGCAACGGGAUAAGAACCGGGAAAUGCGUGAUGUUCAACAGCACCCAUUCCACCUGUGAGAUCUACGGCUGGUGUCCCGUGGAGAGCAGCACCCUGCCCAGGAAACCUCUUCUGGCUGAAGCAGAGAAUUUCACUCUUUUUAUAAAAAAUACUGUCCACUUCACCAAAUUUAACUUCUCCCGGUGCAAUGCUCUGCAAACCAACGACUCCACCUAUUUCAAAACCUGCACCUACAAUCCCUCCUCCAGUCCCUUCUGCCCCGUCUUCCGUGUCCGUGAUGUGGUGGAGGCAGCUGGAGAGACCUUUGGAGACCUUGCAUUGCUGGGGGGGAGCAUCAGCAUUCGCAUCAAGUGGGACUGUGACCUGGAUCGCCCCGCAGCCCAAUGCCAGCCACAGUAUUCAUUCAGCCUGCAGGACAGGAGGUACAAUUUUAGAACCGCCUCCUACUACUGGGACUCCCAGCGGCGGCUCUACCGGACCCUUCUGAAGCUCUACGGCAUCCGCUUCGACAUCUCCGUGCACGGCCAGCCAGACCCAUCCAUUCCUGCUGGCAUCGCUUCUCCCCACCCUGGUGAGCUCCUCACCUCUUCCCAAGCAGAGCAGGAAAAAAUGGUCUCUACCAUUUGAAGAGAAACUUCUUGGUAGUGCCCUGAGCAGGAUGGCUUCCCUCGAGGACCUGGCAAGGGUGUUGUGGCGUGCUGGGCCCUGUAGGCUGGGAAGUUCAGCAUAAUUCCUGCUGCCGUGAGCUUCGGCACUGGCAUCGCGCUCUUUGGGACUGCCACAGUGAUCUGCGACCUGGUUCUGCUUUACCUGGAUAAGGAGGCUGACUUGUAUUGGAAGGAGAA